rnacentral:rRNA from 1 species
GAUGAACGCUAGCUACAGGCUUAACACAUGCAAGUCGAGGGGAAACGAUAUUGGAAGCUUGCUUCCGAUAGGCGUCGACCGGCGCACGGGUGAGUAACGCGUAUCCAACCUGCCCACCACUUGGGGAUAACCUUGCGAAAGUAAGACUAAUACCCAAUGACGUCUCUAGAAGACAUCUGAAAGAGAUUAAAGAUUUAUCGGUGAUGGAUGGGGAUGCGUCUGAUUAGCUUGUUGGCGGGGUAACGGCCCACCAAGGCUACGAUCAGUAGGGGUUCUGAGAGGAAGGUCCCCCACAUUGAAACUUGGACACGGUCCAAACUCCUACGGGAGGCAGCAGUGAGGAAUAUUGGUCAAUGGGCGAGAGCCUGAACCAGCCAAGUAGCGUGCAGGAUGACGGCCCUAUGGGUUGUAAACUGCUUUUAUAAGGGAAUAAAGUGAGUCUCGUGAGACUUUUUGCAUGUACCUUAUGAAUAAGGACCGGCUAAUUCCGUGCCAGCCGCCGCCGUAA